GUCCUUAAUCGGACUUUUGGUAGCUUGCUACUACAUCGGUGACAGGUGGUGCAUGGUUGUCGUCAGCUCGUGUCGUGAGAUGUUGGGUUAAGUCCCGCAACGAGCGCAACCCCUAUCCUUAGUAGCCAGCAUUAGGUUGGGCACUCUGGGGAGACUGCCAGGGAUAACUUGGAGGAAGGCGGGGAUGACGUCAAAUCAUCAUGCCCCUUAUGUUUAGGGCUACACACGUGCUACAAUGGCUGCUACAAAGGGAAGCGACCUCGUGAGAGCAAGCAAACCUCAAAAAAGCAGUCCCAGUUCGGAUUGUAGUCUGCAACUCGACUACAUGAAGUUGGAAUCGCUAGUAAUCGCGAAUCAGAAUGUCGCGGUGAAUACGUUCCCGGGUCUUGUACACACCGCCCGUCACACCAUGGGAGUUGGUGGGGCCCAACGCCGGUGACCCAACCGUAAGGAGGGAGCCGUCUAAGGCAAGACCAAUAACUGGGGUGAAGUCGUAACAAGGUA
rnacentral:rRNA from 1 species